UUGUAUCUGUUAAUUUAUUAUUACUAAUUGUUUGCAAUUAGUCACAGGUGAUGCUGGAGACGGAGAUGAAGUGGUUUCUGUGGACUUAGGCAAUUGCUGUUACUUGUGGGCUAAUCUAUGCAAAUACGAAUAUUGUUUUAUGCGAUUACAAUAGUUUUUAGCACUUAUUUGUUGUAUUGACUUCCUCUGACUGUUACCCACCGCCGGCAAUCAAUAUAUACAUAUGUUUGUCAUAUGUAGAUAUGUGUAGAUUUGUAUAGAAAAAUGUGACAAAAGUCACAGUCCAUCAAUGACUUUGACUUGAAAUCUGGUCUAAAGUCUAAUCGAAGUUUUAUAUCUAGUCAUACCAACAGAUGGAACGAGCUAUAAAAUUUAGUGGAUAAAGGGCGGCUGGAAAUUACGGGGCAGAUGGCGGUUGGAGAGGGGGGAUAAACGAUGCUACUUAAAGUAUAUAAUGACAGCAGGCUGAUGAAAAAUAAGUUUCACAAAAUUAGCUAAAGACGUCCGCCAUUAAAUCAAAGUCGAACAAUAAAACUAAGCAAUGACUACGAGUUUAGCGGAAAAACAAAAGAAAAAAAAACACUCUGUAUAUUAUAUAGACUCCAAGAUACCCUGUACAAAUUUAGGCAUAAAUAUAGAAUACUUUGUGGACUUUACUUUAAAAGGUUUCAAAGGUCUAAAUGGCUGCAAAUGUCUAGAAUAAAUAAGAUAGCCAAUUGUACCCUUUAUCCCUAUUUAUAGUCAGAGGUAUCGAAAAACAUUGCCAGUGGCAAAAAUCAACGACGACAGCGACAUGGACAUGGACACGGACAGGUUACACUCCGAACCGACACCAAUUUUUUGGAUUCGUCUAGUAAACGGAGUUCGAUUUGUAGUAACCUUGUUGUUGUCUUUGGCCUGUCAUUAAACAGAAAAGAGAAGACAACAGAAAAUGAAAAGCGAAAAAGAGAAGAUGAAACACAACAUUCGAACUGAACUCUGAGACGGAGAGACAAAUAAGUGUUUAGCUUGGUACCAUCAAUCAAUGUGCCAUGAAUUAACCUUACCUUAGCCAUCAUCAGUGUCUUGACAUCAAGUGCAUGGACAGACAGAACAAUGUAGGCUUUAAUUUAGCGCUUAAUACACACAACUAACAAAUGGCAUUUAGUCAUUUGACAAAGAAACAUUCUUCAUUAGCCAUGGACCAUUGACAAUAGUUUCAUUUAAAUGUGUCUGAAAGAACUCUUUGAAACUAUAUUGAAAGAUUUGACCCAUUCAUAAUGUUUUUACAACUCAUUAAAGAAUACACUUCCGAUCAAUAUAUACAAAAAGUAUGGGUAUAUUUUUUCGACUU